AGCGAACGCUGGCGGCAGGCUUAACACAUGCAAGUCGAACGCUCACCUUCGGGUGGGAGUGGCAGACGGGUGAGUAACACGUGGGAACGUGCCCUUCGGUUCGGAAUAACCCUGGGAAACUAGGGCUAAUACCGGAUACGUCCGAGAGGAGAAAGGUUUACUGCCGAAGGAUCGGCCCGCGUCUGAUUAGCUAGUUGGUGGGGUAACGGCCUACCAAGGCGACGAUCAGUAGCUGGUCUGAGAGGAUGAUCAGCCACACUGGGACUGAGACACGGCCCAGACUCCUACGGGAGGCAGCAGUGGGGAAUAUUGGACAAUGGGCGCAAGCCUGAUCCAGCCAUGCCGCGUGAGUGAUGAAGGCCUUAGGGUUGUAAAGCUCUUUUGUCCGGGACGAUAAUGACGGUACCGGAAGAAUAAGCCCCGGCUAACUUCGUGCCAGCCGCCGCCGUAAGAC
rnacentral:rRNA from 1 species